rfam:Geobacillus sp. B4113_201601 NODE_74, whole genome shotgun sequence.
CCCGCACUACAACCGCUCAGCGCGGGUCGUGAAGCGUUCCGGCACGGAACCGCCUUGACGCUGGCGAGUCUGAGUCGAUGA